CCUACGGGUGACAGCAGUGAGGAAUAUUGGUCAAUGGACGAGAGUCUGAACCAGCCAAGUAGCGUGAAGGAUGACUGCCCUAUGGGUUGUAAACUUCUUUUAUAUGGGAAUAAAAUGUUCCACGUGUGGGCUUUUGUAUGUACCAUAUGAAUAAGGAUCGGCUAACUCAGUGCCAGCAGCCGCGGUAAUACGGAGGAUCCGAGCGUUAUCCGGAUUUAUUGGGUUUAAAGGGAGCGUAGGUGGAUUGUUAAGUCAGUUGUGAAAGUUUGCGGCUCAACCGUAAAAUUGCAGUUGAAACUGGCAGUCUUGAGUACAGUAGAGGUGGGCGGAAUGCGUGGUGUAGCGGUGAAAUGCUUAGAUAUCACGAAGAACUCCGAUUGCGAAGGCAGCUCACUGGACUGCAACUGACACUGAGGCUCGAAAGUGUGGGUAUCAAACAGGAUUAGAUACCCCAGUAGUC
rnacentral:rRNA from 1 species